GCUUGCACCUUCGGAUAAAGCGCCCAUCCAAAGGAAGCGGAGGUAAGCAGCAGGUCAUCAGACACCAAUUUGGCUUUAGAAUUCGGCCACUCAAACUUAGAACAACAGCCCCUGGGCCACCAACCCAUGCCAGGCAGAGUGAUAGAAAAUUAUAUAUGACCCACGCCUCAUAUAUUUCACGAAUGGAAUUGAAAUAGAUGGCUCUCUCAUUUAAGAUGAGCGAAAAGAAUGACGUUAAUGCAUAAACAGGAACCAUAAAGAUGAUGCGGACAAUGUAUCUUUGAUAAGUAGGCUCAGUAUAAUUCAAAAGAUGCCUGUAAAUGUGCAAAAGUGCCAGUCCAAUGGCACCAACUGUGCAAGGCAACGCAAUGAGGAUAUAGAAUAUGGGAGCCAUUUGUUCCACAGGCUACCAAGCAUCAAACACAAACACCCUUCUCUGAAACAGUACUGAAGAAACAACUCCAAAACCCCUAUGUUUAGGCACUUCUCUUCUUCCCCAAAUAGCAGUAAUCCCUGCUACAAUUGAAUGCUUCGCUUUUCACCUUUGAUUGAAUGUACACCAACCUCGGGAAAUCGGAAAACCCUUAUCGAUGCAAUCUGGGUAAAAGAAAUCAA
rnacentral:misc_RNA from 1 species